GUCAGAUUUCGUCGGCGCCACGAUCAGCAAGCCGCCCUGAUUGUUGUCUGUGAACGUGACGUCUGUCAGUCUACCGUAUGAGUCUACCACAGGACGAUUUAUCCCGAGCAUCGUUUGUUGUUUUUUUUUACCUGAAGAAUAAAAAUAUCAGGAGUGAUAUUUUCGUGCGUUGAAAUACAGAGUAAUUUGGACGCGUUACGUAUGCCAUGUUGGUGUCGAGCAAUGCAAAAUUCCGAGGAAUCGAGGGAGUAUGCCAGAAAACGGGUCUUCACCCGGGACUUUCGGAGAAAGUGAAAGGCGGGGAAGGGUUUGGUGCUUGGACGUACAGGUGUGCAAAAUUGGCCAACGUGUUCGAAGGAGCCUGCCGGAAAGAGGACGUCGACAUUCACCGCGAUAUGAAAAGGGAAAUUCGCAUUUCUCUGCUGAGAGUUCUGCAAACGACAGUCGAAAUUCUGCAAUAUCGCGCAAGGGUCAGGGCGAAGCACCCGGAGCCGAAAUUUAUUCGUGAAAGCGAUACCCGACAACUUGAUCGACAUACUGCGUUAUGAACUGUAUACUUUUCUCACGGAGGAAAACCUUCCUCUUCGAAUCUUUGACGAAUCUACGGAAAUAUCGAACGAAAACACACCCGUCGAAUUCAUUAAACGCCCUCAUCAAUGCGUAAUUACCAUCUCUAGUUGUCGGCGCUUU